UACCCCGUCUUGAAACACGGWCCAAGGAGUCUAGCAUGCGCGCGAGUCAAUGGGAGUCGCGAGACCCACCGGCGAAAUGAAAGUGAACAGCGUCGGUCCGCGUCCGCGCGGACCGUCCGCAGGGAGGAUGGCGCGCGCGUCAGCGCGCGCGCCCGCACUCCCGAGGCGUUUCGAGAAAUGCCACCGUUGCGAUUAUCGAGACGCACUGAGAGCGCGCACGCUGGGACCCGAA
rnacentral:rRNA from 1 species